GUAAGGAAUAUUGGACAAUGGACGCAAGUCUGAUCCAGCCAUGCCGCGUGAAGGAUUAAGGUCCUCUGGAUUGUAAACUUCUUUUAUAAGGGACGAAAAAAGGCUUUUCUAAGUCGUCUGACGGUACCUUAUGAAUAAGCACCGGCUAACUCCGUGCCAGCAGCCGCGGUAAUACGGAGGGUGCAAGCGUUAUCCGGAUUCACUGGGUUUAAAGGGUGCGUAGGCGGGCAGGUAAGUCAGUGGUGAAAUCCUAGAGCUUAACUCUAGAACUGCCAUUGAUACUAUCUGUCUUGAAUAUUGUGGAGGUAAGCGGAAUAUGUCAUGUAGCGGUGAAAUGCUUAGAUAUGACAUAGAACACCUAUUGCGAAGGCAGCUUACUACGCAUAUAUUGACGCUGAGGCACGAAAGCGUGGGGAUCAAACAGGAUUAGAAACCCGAGUAGUCC
rnacentral:rRNA from 1 species